rnacentral:rRNA from 1 species
UACCAGCACCCCGAGUGGUCGGGACGUUUAUUGGGCCUAAAGCAUCCGUAGCCGGUUCUACAAGUCUUCCGUUAAAUCCAACUGCUUAACAGGUGGGCUGCGGAAGAUACUAUAGAGCUAGGAGGCGGGAGAGGCAAGCGGUACUCGAUGGGUAGGGGUAAAAUCCGUUGAUCCAUUGAAGACCACCAGUGGCGAAGGCGGCUUGCCAGAACGCGCUCGACGGUGAGGGAUGAAGCUGGGGGAGCAACCGG